AUUUAUAUAGUUUAAAUAAAACAUUACAUUUUCAUUGUAAAAUUAAAAUAAAUUAAAUUUUUAUAAAUU
rnacentral:tRNA from 1 species